rnacentral:rRNA from 1 species
UAAUCACUUGUCUUUUAAAUGAAGACCUGUAUGAAUGGCAUAACGAGGGUUUAACUGUCUCCUCCUCCCAGUCAAUGAAAUUGAUCUGCCCGUGCAGAAGCGGACAUAAAAACAUAAGACGAGAAGACCCUAUGGAGCUUUAGGCUUAGGAUCAAACAUGUCAAAAGACUACAAAAUCAAAAAGAUAUACAAACAGUCAUCAAAACUAAAUGUAAAGUGAUCUAAAUGCCUUCGGUUGGGGCGACCACGGGGAAAAAAGAAACCCCCAAAUGGAAUGGGAAUAUUCCCUUAAACCAAGAAAAACACCUCUAAGUAACAGAACAUCUGACCAAAAAUGACCCAGAACAACAAUUCUGAUCAAUGAACCAAGUUACCCUAGGGAUAACAGCGCAAUCCUUUCCCAGAGCCCA